UUGUGUAUGUUUCCCGACCUCUUCUCGAGACCUUGGGGCUCAGGUCCUGGUGGCCGUCGGGGGUCUAGUCUCCUGUGAUGUAGGAAAGAAGGAACUAGAGCGCCUAGCUCCCUAUCUCUGCUCCGCUUUUUACAAACGGUACUAAAUUCCUGGGAAGUUUCGGGAGGUACACGUCGGCACUCCCCAGCUAAUCUCUGAGAACUUUUAAUUCGGGGCCCUGGUGUACGUAAAGGUUAGUCCACGAGGUGCGCAGAAGGGACAAGGGCUACUAGGCCAGUCGCGCUCUCCGAGUUCUGGUGUCCUGUUUGCUCUGAGCUUUCCCUGGAGAACUUCAGCGAGAUGCUGUCUAAGGAAGACAAGUUAGCAAAUAAAUUGGCUAAGUAAGAGUCCAGCCUGUGAACGGCCUCCAAGCCUGAGCCCAGAGAAGACCGAGCCCCGGCACGAACCUGAUUCCUGCUGCGUGUGUGUUUUUUUAUAUUUGCCAAACACGAGGUUGUCCUUGUGAAUUUCCCUGCACAAUAGCUGACACCCGGGAGAGGGUGCGCGGGCCCCGGCGCCGCUGGGACAGAGACUGGCUUUCCAACCAGAGGAGAGAAUGGAUAGUGAAAUUUUUUUCUUGUCAGUUAACUUCAAAAUAAAACAAAACUGUUUGACCCGUGGAGUUUAUUCAGACGGAAAGCCAGGUUGCCUGACUCGUCCAGUUUGCAAUUUUCCCAGCGCAUCGGCUUUGGCCCCGGAGACAACACCCCCAGGGAGAGGCACAUUUUCAAAGCCACCCUUCACCGGCCCCAGGCCCGGGGCUCUGAUCUCCCUGAGCGCCUCAGUUGGUCCCGGAAAGCGAGGAGAAGAGGGGGUGCAGAGGAAGAAGUGCACCCAAAGAGCUGGCGAAGGCCCCCAUAGUGUUCCAGAGACGUCAGGUGGUGACGGCGGAAGCACUGAAAAUGCGCAGCCUAGAGGUCGCCCCAACCGCGUGCCCUGGCUCUCCGCCCCACUGCCCGCAGCCUGUCAUCGGGCUCCGGAACGCAGCGCCCACGCCGGGCUGUCGCGAUCGGGACCCGGCCCGCGGCCCCGCAGCCCCGGGCCGACCCCGCGCGCCGCCGGCGGCCGCCAGUUCGGCGCGGAGGUGGGCUCGCUGCGGCGGCGCGCGAAAGGUCACCGCGGUGGCAUUCCUGUCCGCGCGCUGUUUACGUGACUUAAUGUACUUCGUCCGCCGCGG
rnacentral:lncRNA from 1 species